rnacentral:rRNA from 1 species
ACGCUCGACACCUACGGUAGGCAGCAGUGGGGGAUAUUGCACAAUGGAGGAAACUCUGAUGCAGCGACGCCGCGUGAGGGAAGAAGGUUUUCGGAUUGUAAACCUCUGUCUUCGGUGACGAAAAUGACGGUAGCCGAGGAGGAAGCCACGGCUAACUACGUGCUAGCAGCCGCGGUAAUCUGAGCGGGCUGGCAAGGC